rnacentral:rRNA from 1 species
AAUAGAUACCCUGGUAGUCCACGCCGUAAACGUUGGAUACUAGGUGUGGCGGUUAUACCAAUGACUGCCGUGCCGAAGCUAACGCAUUAAGUAUCCCGCCUGGGGAGUACGGCCGCAAGGCUAAAACUCAAAGGAAUUGACGGGUCCCCGCACAAGCGGCGGGGCAUGCGGCUUAAUUCGAUGCAACCCGAAGAACCUUACCUGGGUUUGACAUCACGGGAAAAGCUGUAGAAAUACAGUGUCCAUUAGGGCCCGUGACAGGUGGUGCAUGGCUGUCGUCAGCUCGUGUCGUGAGAUGUUGGGUUAAGUCCCGCAACGAGCGCAACCCUUGUCCUAUGUUGCCAGCGGUUCGGCCGGGGACUCAUAGGAGACUGCCGGGGAUAACUCGGAGGAAGGUGAGGACGACGUCAAGUCAUCAUGCCCCUUAUAUCCAGGGCUGCACGCAUGCUACAAUGGCCGGUACAACGGGCAGCGACCCCGCGAGGGUGAGCGAAUCCUAAAAAGCCGGUCCUAGUUCGGAUUGAAGUCUGCAACUCGACUUC